rnacentral:rRNA from 1 species
CGUACCUGACCUGACACACGGAGGGGGAUAGUCCCCCGAAAGGGGGUUGAAUACCGCGUACGCUCGUCAAGGCAGCUUGAUGAGGAGAGGUGGCCUCUGCAUGCACGCUAUCGCCGUGUGAGGGGGGUGCGUCCUAUUAGCUGGCUGGUGGGGUAAUGGCCUACCAGGGCGACGAUGGGUCGCUGGUCUGAGAGGAUGAUCAGCCACACUGGGACUGAGACACGGCCCAGACUCCUACGGGAGGCAGCAGUGGGGAAUUUUGCGCAAUGGGGGGAACCCUGACGCAGCAACGCCGUGUGAGUGACGACGCCGUUCGCGGUGUAAAGCUCUGUGAGGCGGGACGAAGGCUCCGGGUGAAGAACCUGCGAGGGUGACGGUACCGCCACAGCAAGCCCCGGCUAACUCCGUGCCAGCAGCCGCGGUAAGACGGAGGGGGCGAGCGUUGUUCGGAAUUACUGGGCGUAAAGCGCCCGCAGGCGGUGACGUGAGUGUUUCGUGAAAGCCCCCGGCUCAACCGGGGACGGGCGAAGCAGACUGCGUGACUUGAGUGCUGGAGGGGGAGGCGGAAUUCCUGGUGGAGCGGUGAAAUGCGUAGAGAUCAGGAAGAACGUCAGUGGCGAAGGCGGCCUCCUGGACAGACACUGACGCUGAGGGGCGAGAGCGUGGGGAGCGAACGGGAUUAGAUACCCCGGUAGUACACGCCGUAAACGCUGGGCACUAGGUGUGGGGGUGGAGAUCACUUCCGUGCCGGAGCUAUCGCAGUAAGUGCCCCGCUUGGGGAGUUCGGUGGCAAGGGUGAAACUCUAAGGAAUUGACGGGGGCCCGCACAAGCGGUGGAGCAUGUGGUUUAAUUCGACGCAACGCGCAGAGCCUUACCUGGGUUUGACAUGGCACUGCGAUGCCCUGCGAGGGGCAGUUCCUUCGGGUUGGUGUCACAGGUGGUGCAUGGUUGUCGUCAGCUCGUGUCGUGAGAUGUUGGGUUAAGUCCCGCAACGAGCGCAACCCUUGCCCUUCGUUUCCAGCAGGUGUGGCUGGGGACUCGAGUGGGGACUGCCGGUGUCAAUCCGGUGGAAGGUGGGGAUGACGUCAAGUCCUCAUGUCCCUGACGCCCAGGGCUACACUACGUGUUACAAUGG